UGCCAGACUUGUAGUGGUUGAAUCCCCCGU
rnacentral:piRNA from 1 species